rnacentral:tRNA from 1 species
GAUUGUAGCUUAGUGGUAGAGUACAUGCUUAGCAUACAGGGGGUCGUGGUUCAAUCCCAAGCACAAAACA